UCGACAACUCACUACAUUCAUUAUCUGUUCUCUCACUCACUCACUCACUACCCCCAUCCGCAAAAACCACCACUUCCCCGUACACCCGACUAGCAGCGGCAACACUAAUCGGAAAAUCGAACCCACCGAUCGGGCUCGAAACACGCCUCCUCAGUCAUCAGGUUGCUUUUAUGAAAGAAGAGAGUUGAUGGGAAUGGGUGGAGUAGGGGAAAAAAUAGAUUUUACCAUGACCAAGGGAAAAAGAGGGAUUGCGGGACAUUGAGACAAAACCAGUUUAAGCCCCAUAGUAAUCUUCGUUUUUGGACUUUCUCAGUCAGCUGACGUAAGUUCUUUUAAAGCAAACAUGUCAGCAUAUAUAUCCCCAGAAGGAGCUGCUAAUGAGGUUCCUGUACUUGCUUCUCAGAAGUACACAGUACGCCCCAGAAGGAGAAUGAGGUUCCUGUACUUGCUUCUCAGAAUUCUUAAUUGCUCCACAUGGAGAUUUGCUGUCCUACAUGGGGGUGGGAAAUGCAGCUGAUGUUAUAGUCUUUAUUACAUCUGCACGAGAGCAAAUUCAUGCUUUUGGAGCCGAAAGUGUUUUGGUUUUUACUGCAUUAGGAUUUCCAACAACGAUGCUCCUGAUUCAGGUAUGGUUUUUUCGUUCCGUUAAUGAAUUAUCAAUUUCCAGAUGUGUGUGAGCUUAUGAUUUGUGACAUGUCUUUAGGAUCUACCUUCGGAGUUGAAGGAAAAAAGUAAACUAAAGAAUGAAGAGUAAUGACAGGGGAACCGAAAAGAAAUUCCCGAAUUAACAUGUGAUUGGCCAUUCUUAUCAUGUGUUAAACAAUUAUUUUUGGAAACUAUUUAAAUAGAUGAGGUGGACAAAAAUGCGUCAGAUCCGGUGCAUGUUGGGGUUAAUUCUUCGAUCUCCCUAUCAUUAUUCAAGAAUGAAUAUAUCAGGCAUUAAGAAGAGACUCCCAAAGGAUUGUCAAUCUUUUGGAGUUAAUGAGCUACAUAAGGUAAGGUUUCAAAAAAUAAAAACAAAUGUCCUAAGUUUGUGCUUUUCUUAUUAAGGCUUAUAUUAAAAUAUGUUUGGCAGCUUAAAGAGAGAAGCUUGAAGUUCCAAGCUGGCGUCAAAUAAUAUAUCCUCAAAAAAACUUAACAAACCAGGACAAUGACCCACCAAGCUCAAACCCAAAAUACGAAAGAAAAGUAUUAACGAAGCCUAGCAAUAAAAUUAAAAACAUGAAGAAAUAAAUUAGAAAUUGAAAGACUUAAAAACUUGAUAAUAUGCAUAUAACAUUUCAAAGAUCAAAAUAUUUGUUUUCCAUAUUUUGGAUCUAUAACACGAAAAAGUCGGAAACAGAUGAUAAUGUAAGAGAUGUGCGGAAAACUUGUACUAGCAGGCAACACCAUUUCAUGCUUAAAUUUUCUCUAAACAACUAAUCCUCGGAGUUAUUGCUAUAGCUUUUCAUUUUUCAUGUUUGGUUCCAAUAGUUGUUACUAUAACAUUAUCGCCGUUUGAAUUCUUCGCUCUACCGGGUUCUUUGCUACAAGUGUAUUGUAUGAUUUAAUUAAGUCUGUUCUUCAAAAUAUUAUUUCAAAUUUAAAUUAAAUAAAAGGUAGUUAUCAAAUUCAAAUUAUGUAGGUUGAGGUGGCAGCCCCAUCGUGUGAUGUCAUUAUGACGUCUUAUGAUGGAACCCAUCACCCGUCACAUAAAUUCAAUAUGGUAAUUACAAAAUUUGGUCUUAAUUCAUUGAGUUAAUAAUUUUGAAACUAAAUAUAAUGGUGUUCAAAAAAGUUUCAAUUUCCAAUACAAUUAUUUCUAAUUUCAUCACAUUACUUCAAACUUAAUAUAAUGUGUUGAAAUUAAAUUUAGGCUAUGUUUCGCGUAUAUGGAAAUGGAGUUUUGGAAUUUAAAUUAGGAAAACUCAAAAACUAAACUACAAUUUUUUUCUAAUUCCAUUAAUUUCAAUUUAAGAAUUCUAAUCCUAUGCAGCCAAUUUUGUUAAGCACGGUAUGAUGAUGCAAUCUACAAAAAAACAAAAUAAAUAAAUAAAAAUAAUAAUAAUAAUAAUCCCCACUUACACAUCCACUUUGCGUUCAUUUUGAGAAGUAGAAAAACUGGAUUACACGGCUUUGGUAACCUGAUCUACUUCAAAAAUACUUACAUGUGUGUAUGUAUUAUAUAAUAAAUUUUUUUUAACAUAUAUACACACACACAUAUAUAUAUAUAUAGUGAUGAAAUUGUUAUAUAUGACCCCUAACACCUCUCUG